AGUGCAUCAACAGCAGGGGAUAAAAGGUUGGGCUGAUAAAGGGCAGAGCGCUGUAGCCCCCUGAAGUGGGGAGAUGGUCCUCUGUAUGGGCAGAUGCCUGAAGCCUUCAGAAGAGACCUUGGUCUCCUCCCUGUGCCACCUCUUGUCUGAGCUGAGGCAUCCUCCCACAUGGAGAAAGGAGCUUCAAAAAGCACUGGUCAAUCCAUUCUUCUUCAUGCCUUGUCAGUCCUUGCUAAGAGGGGGUGUGAGACAUUCCCCCCCAUAAGUCACGACUUAGGCGAACCUCAGGAUCAUCUUCUCAUGGUGGCUUUUAAAAAGGAAGGCUUUGCCUUCCUUUGCUUCAGCCUUUCAGUGAUCCUUUGAGAUCCCACAUGUUUGUGACCAUUCCUGAGCCCCAAGCUGGAAUUUCUAAAGCACUACCAGCAGCAAGCCCAAGCAAAAUAGUGAUGGCUGAGAGCAGAAGGAAGCAGCGUGUGCUCACAGUGUGGAGAACUGCACAUGCAGGGAGGAGCUGCUGCUGGAGACCAGCUUUUGUCUGCCUCUGCCCACCUGGAAAGAAGGCCACCCCUUCUGCAAACAUUCCCACAGUUUUCCUUCUGGAAGAACUUGCCUGCAGAAGAUGGAUUCCCUCCCUCAUGCCUUAUGCCCUACCAUGUAAUCUGGGCCAUUCCUUUAGUUUUUUUAUCUGAUGCUGAGGAGCCUGGAGGAAAGGCCCUGCCCAAAGGAGCUCUGCUGGAGAGCAGAAAGCACAAGGCAAACAAUAAAACAUCCUCCUGCAGCCCCCCUUUAGUUUGCCAUUUUGACUUCAGAUGCAAGCUGCCAUCAUUUCCACAUGGAUCAGCCACAUGAAAAGCACCACUAAACAGUUCUCUGAGUUUCUCAACAAGAAACACAGCAGCUAAAUAUAUUUAAUCUGUGUGUAUUGUUCAUCUUGGCUUUAAUUUCCUGUUCUCAAAAGGUUUAGGAAUUUAAACCCAUGAAUCAUUACUGAAGCUGUUAAUGCUUGGAGGCUUUUUCAGAAAUGGAGAUAAAGGAGCUGAUAUUAAUACCAGCUUAGCACAAAUUCAGCCAGAACAACUCUGUGGGAACUUCCUGCCAUCCCAGAGAUACCUCUUGCUUUCUAACCAUGACAAAAGCUGCUAAGAAGUGGGUAGAUGGAUGAAAUCAUUCUCCCCCAGGUAAACAGGAUGCAUCCAUUCAAAAACAUCUCUCUGGCAGGUUAUGGGCUGCAUCAUGCCUAUCUGGAGACCUCUAGAGCACUGUACUGUUCCUCUGUUUCUAAAAUUGCAGAGUCUAUUUCUAAAAUCUCAGAGUGCAGUCAUGAGAUUUCUCUGGGGCUGGAGGUCAUGCACUUCCUCAGGCUGAAUAAAAGAUGGGAAGAAAUCUUUGCUCAGUUCCAUUUCACUGGGUGCUAGGUGGCUGCUUUUAUACCUGCAGGAUCCUCCCAAACUCCUGACCUCAACAGGCUCCCAGGUAUGUCAGAAACAAGGUCUGGCUGUGAGAUGCUUCAGUAAAGGAUGGUGGCUUCUACUCCUCUGCAGAUGGAACAGGAUUUGUUGGUAAAUCAAGUUAUUAAUCUUCUUCCAAGAGUCUGGUUUGGCUGGAAGACCAUGCCAGACUUCCUUUGAAUCCUCUGGGAUUGAACACUGAAGGUCAAAACAGGAAGUCCAGGAGAACUCACAGAAGGAUCCUAACUAGUGAUUGUAGUCAGAAGUGAAACAAAAACUAUGUGGGGACUGUUUUUAUAUUUUUGUCUUGGCUUUAGUUCUAGAAUGUUACAGAAAUAGAAAAUUACUGAGGUGGGAAGUGACUUCUGGAGGUCUUUUUGUCCAAUCCCCUAGACACAGCAGGGCCAACUGCCUGGUUGAUGAUAAUUAUAAAUGUGAAUGUUCAGAGGAAACUGCCUCAUUCUUGUUUGAUUUGUACCUUUUGGUACAUAAAAGCUUAGAAGCUACAAGGCAGCUGCAGGAAAAUGUUUGGAAGGAACACAAUUCAUCCUCCUGAGAAGGGCUGCUCUAAUGAUUGCUCUUUUCAGGAUGGAAGAGAAGUGGUCUGGUUUCUAGCAUCUUCCUUCCUCCACUUCCCUCAGGACAGGGAGGCCCCUGGUGUAGAGGAGGCCGAACUGCUUUGUCUUGCUGCCUGCGCUGAGGGUGUGCUGUAGAGCUGGAAAUUGUGCUGUGGCUGGAGCCCCUGCUGCCCAACAAGUGUAUGGGGGAAGGAGGCAUGGGGAUAAGGGGCAGGAAGGCAGAGCAGUGUUGUGCUAGCUCAGGAAUGUGCUGGCUUGGGAAGGGCCUGGAUCUCCAGCCAUGCUGUACCAAGUCAUUCCAUGUCCUGGUGGUGAUGGAGCUGCAGCAGGUUUGUGCCAAGUGAAAGCACUGCCCUGUUUGGGAAGAACUGCACUAUUUGCUUGUAUAUUGAUGAAAGUAGAGGUGAACUCUAAUGAGUAAUGAGGAGAUGCCUACAAAUACAUCCGUAGUUUACAUUUUUCUCUUCUAAAACUCUGUCUUUUAAGUGUUGGAGACCUGCAAAGCAAAAUGCUAAGAAAUGCAUCCCCUGUGAGCUGCAGCUCCCACUACCAGAAAUGGUGGCUGAGUCUCUGAGUACCUCAGGGUGUUCCUUGUGGUCCUUUCAGCAGAGCACCGUGAGCACAUUCUGGGAAGUUUGGAUUGCCCCCAGAUUCCCAGCAGAGCCCUGUGACCUGCUUGCUUCUCAUGAAGGAAAAGUCUCUGUUGCCUCCUUACCUCUGUUUUCCAUCAUGGGGGAGCUUGAGUCUCUGAGACUGCAGCCCAUGGCUGUAUCUCUUCCUUUCACAGAGUGCUCUGGAGCCACUCCUGCCCCUGGAACAAGUGCACUCAGAGCCAGAAAGCAUCAGGCUCAGUCAGAGCCUCUGGGGCUGUCUCUCCAUCUGUUUGUUUAAUGACGCGCAGCAGCCUCAUCUCCGACUUCGCCCCUCAGGACAAUAAUCCACUCUGAUGUGCAGGCCAGCCAGCUAUUCUUCCCAGACCAGACUGUGAUUGGGGCAGUGUAGGCCAGAGAAGGCUUAAAAGUCGUUUUAUGAAUAGCUUUAUGGCUCUCAGUUGCUCUGAGAUCUGCAGGACAUGCAGAAUGCUUGCUGGAGUUUGCCUGCUUGUUUUGCGCUGAAGGAAGGGAUGUGCCUCAAAAUCCAGAUAUGCUGAUUCCUGACAUCACUGAGUGAGAGUGGCAAAGCUUAGGGAAGAGAGACUUCAGUGAAAUGCUGGUUUCAAAAUCCUCAGGUUUUUUUAAUUGCUUGGCUUCCAUGGUCUUUGGUGUGAGAAAGUGGAAUGGCUUCUUUCUAUACAGACGAUAAGGUGUCAGAAGGGAAGAGUGGCAGGGGCCCUAAUCCUGACCAUAACCCCUUAGGAAUGCCCAAGUGGUAGUGAAAUAUCCCCAAGAAAGGAAACACAUCCAGGAAUAGUCUUUGGGUUUAAUGCCCUAUUAAAUAAGGGGAAACAUACCCUAGGGAUCAAAAACCAAAAUAUUUGUCUUUCCCAUAGUCCAUUACUAGGUCUUCCCUUUUGUUUUGGAGGUGGAGAUUGUGUGCAGUAAUUCCAGCAUGUUGUGUCUCAGAUUGUGUCUCUCAGGCAGAACCAAGAGGUUACCCAGCUACUCUGGUUCUGUUCAACCAUAAGGUGAUAUGAUCUUAAGGUAUUCUGUAAGCUCCAUGUGCUCUUGGCUCACCAUGGGACCAGGAGAAGAUGUUUCUGGGGCCCUAGAGAAAGAGGUCUGGGAAUGGCAGGGGCAGCUACUCCACCCGCUCUGCCAUUGAGAAACACACCAGCCAAAUAUCCCCAGCUGAACAUCUGCAGUGGCUGGCAAAGGCAGUGCCAGGCUGGAUGAAAUGCAAGUCCAGAAUUACAGAGACAGAUGGAGCAGGGUAAGAGGGAGGCAUGGGUCAGAGGAAAGCAGCAGCUGAAGCGUGCAGGCAGCUCUCUCUGGGGCCAAGGAGCAGGAGCAAUUUCCUUCUGGAGCCAGCCAUCACCCAGCGUGGUACUGAGCACAGGGGGCACUGUCCACGUGAAGUCACCAGCAGGGCAUGAGCAAAAGCCCUAAUGAGGAACAGAACAGGGUUAUCACUCACCCAGGAGCUGCAGCUCUGCCAAAAGAGCCAUAGAUGAAGAACACAGAUGGGAGCAUGUGUCUGCACCCACCCACCUGUGUAAGUGCGGGAUGUGUGCCCAGGGCACGCUGCCCUGCUUGGGUCUCCUGUCCUGAGGGCUUCAGAAUGGACCUCUCCACUUGCUUGAGCCUGUGUUCAGUCAAGAAGCUUGAUUUCAGUGAAACAAGGUCAAACCCUCCUAAAGCCAAGAGUUGAAAGCAAUUUUGAAUGCUUGAGUUGUUUCCACUGAGUGGGAGCUGGGAGCUUGAACAUUUUAAGAUGCUUCCACUUAAGGCAUCAUUAAUUGAUGGUGAAAGUCAGGGUGACUGAAGUCUGUCCCCAUUAUACAUUUGUGAAAGAGCCUCACAGCUCUGGAGGAAGCAGGACAAUUCUUGCUUGCAGUGCCUUUGGAGUGGGAAGGGCCAUGGAUGGGUGGGCGCCUUUCCAUUUCCAUAGCACAGCAUCUCACGGAGUUUAUUCACUGCAAUCAGCUUUUCAAAUUCCUCCAUUUACAUCCUGAUAAUAGCAGACCAAGGCGGUUUUCUCCAUUAUAAAACUCUCCCUCUGCUCCGCCUUAUUCAGAGGUGUUCAGGAAAUCUGGCUCUUUCCCCUCCUCUUCCCUGCUCCCCCAAAGCGCUUUUCUUUCUCCAAAAGCAGCAUGUUGCAUCUUUCCCUCGCCCUGGCAGAUGGAUUUGUACGAUUGUGCGUGCUCAGGGUUAUUGCUGCUACCUGCUAUUAGAGCAGGAAGAGCCCCGGCGUGCAGGAGAGAACAAAGCCCGAGGAUUCCCGAGCUCUCCAUUGAUGCAGAAGGCACCGGGCGGGACGUGAAAGAGAUAACAGAGAGGCAGCGAGAUCCUCCUCCAGCGCUCCCCCUCCCUCGCCCUCCGAUUCAAGGAGCCGAGGCUGGUUUGUGAAUGAGGAGCCGGAGCUCGUUCAGACGGAACAAAUACCAAUAAAGGAGCACAAUAGCGGCUGCUCCCGAGCCGCAGCCGGCAAGGAAAAGGUAGCAGCUCUCAAGAGGGGGCUUAUUUCCCGAGGAGUCAUUGGUGCGUGGCAGAUGGAAGGAACUAAUAAAAUAUUAUGGACUUGCAGAGCUUUGAUCUUCCUGCGUUUUUUCAUUUUCCCCCUUCUUCCCAAGGGUACAGGCUGAGUUAUCGAAAUGAAUAGGGUGGAAAUCUCAUUUGGAAAAGGCUGCCCUGGCAGCAUGGCUUGUGGAGGGAAUGUCAGCAGCCUGCUCCAGCACCAUGCUUUGGUGUGGGCUGGAUUUUUACAGCAGCACGUUUUCAUCACUUUUGAAGCACCUGUACCCUUUCCCAUUCUGUUCCCAUGGCAUCUUUCUGCCUGCUUGCAGGUCAGCUGGAGCAGGAGUG